rnacentral:rRNA from 1 species
CAACCGCAAAAGAAGCAGAGGGGGCUUAGUGGUGGGGUGACUGCGUACCUUUUGUAUAAUGGGUCAGCGACUUAUAUUCUGUAGCAAGGUUAACCGAAUAGGGGAGCCGGAGGGAAACCGAGUCUUAACCGGGCGUUAAGUUGCAGGGUAUAGACCCGAAACCCGGUGAUCUAGCCAUGGGCAGGUUGAAGGUUGGGUAACACUAACUGGAGGACCGAACCGACUAAUGUUGAAAAAUUAGCGGAUGACCUGUGGCUGGGGGUGAAAGGCCAAUCAAACCGGGAGAUAGCUGGUUCUCCCCGAAAGCUAUUUAGGUAGCGCCUCGUGAAUUCAUCUCCGGGGGUAGAGCACUGUUUCGGCUAGGGGGCCAUCCCGGCUUACCAACCCGAUGCAAACUGCGAAUACCGGAGAAUGUUAUCACGGGAGACACACGGCGGGUGCUAACGUCCGUCGUGAAGAGGGAAACAACCCAGACCGCCAGCUAAGGUCCCAAAGUCAUGGUUAAGUGGGAAACGAUGUGGGAAGGCCCAGACAGCCAGGAUGUUGGCUUAGAAGCAGCCAUCAUUUAAAGAAAGCGUAAUAGCUCACUGGUCGAGUCGGCCUGCGCGGAAGAUGUAACGGGGCUAAACCAUGCACCGAAGCUGCGGCAGCGACGCUGAUGCGUUGUUGGGUAGGGGAGCGUUCUGUAAGCCUGCGAAGGUGGCCUGUGAGGGUUGCUGGAGGUAUCAGAAGUGCGAAUGCUGACAUAAGUAACGAUAAAGCGGGUGAAAAGCCCGCUCGCCGGAAGACCAAGGGUUCCUGUCCAACGUUAAUCGGGGCAGGGUGAGUCGACCCCUAAGGCGAGGCCGAAAGGCGUAGUCGAUGGGAAACGGGUUAAUAUUCCCGUACUUGGUGUUACUGCGAAGGGGGGACGGAGAAGGCUAUGUUGGCCGGGCGACGGUUGUCCCGGUUUAAGCGUGUAGGUGUGUGUUCCAGGUAAAUCCGGUUCACUUUAACACUGAGGCGUGAUGACGAGGCACUACGGUGCUGAAGCAACAAAUGCCCUGCUUCCAGGAAAAGCCUCUAAGCAUCAGGUAACAUCAAAUCGUACCCCAAACCGACACAGGUGGUCAGGUAGAGAAUACCAAGGCGCUUGAGAGAACUCGGGUGAAGGAACUAGGCAAAAUGGUGCCGUAACUUCGGGAGAAGGCACGCUGACACGUAGGUGAAGUGAUUUACUCAUGGAGCUGAAGUCAGUCGAAGAUACCAGCUGGCUGCAACUGUUUAUUAAAAACACAGCACUGUGCAAACACGAAAGUGGACGUAUACGGUGUGACGCCUGCCCGGUGCCGGAAGGUUAAUUGAUGGGGUCAGCGCAAGCGAAGCUCCUGAUCGAAGCCCCGGUAAACGGCGGCCGUAACUAUAACGGUCCUAAGGUAGCGAAAUUCCUUGUCGGGUAAGUUCCGACCUGCACGAAUGGCGUAAUGAUGGCCAGGCUGUCUCCACCCGAGACUCAGUGAAAUUGAACUCGCUGUGAAGAUGCAGUGUACCCGCGGCAAGACGGAAAGACCCCGUGAACCUUUACUAUAGCUUGACACUGAACAUUGAGCCUUGAUGUGUAGGAUAGGUGGGAGGCUUUGAAGUGUGGACGCCAGUCUGCAUGGAGCCGACCUUGAAAUACCACCCUUUAAUGUUUGAUGUUCUAACGUGGACCCGUGAUCCGGGUUGCGGACAGUGUCUGGUGGGUAGUUUGACUGGGGCGGUCUCCUCCUAAAGAGUAACGGAGGAGCACGAAGGUUGGCUAAUCCUGGUCGGACAUCAGGAGGUUAGUGCAAUGGCAUAAGCCAGCUUGACUGCGAGCGUGACGGCGCGAGCAGGUGCGAAAGCAGGUCAUAGUGAUCCGGUGGUUCUGAAUGGAAGGGCCAUCGCUCAACGGAUAAAAGGUACUCCGGGGAUAACAGGCUGAUACCGCCCAAGAGUUCAUAUCGACGGCGGUGUUUGGCACCUCGAUGUCGGCUCAUCACAUCCUGGGGCUGAAGUAGGUCCCAAGGGUAUGGCUGUUCGCCAUUUAAAGUGGUACGCGAGCUGGGUUUAGAACGUCGUGAGACAGUUCGGUCCCUAUCUGCCGUGGGCGCUGGAGAACUGAGGGGGGCUGCUCCUAGUACGAGAGGACCGGAGUGGACGCAUCACUGGUGUUCGGGUUGUCAUGCCAAUGGCACUGCCCGGUAGCUAAAUGCGGAAGAGAUAAGUGCUGAAAGCAUCUAAGCACGAAACUUGCCCCGA